CACGGGGGUUGCGAGCGUUGUUCGGAAUUAUUGGGCGUAAAGGGCGCGUAGGUGGUUGUGAUAGUCAGAUGUGAAAUCCUUUGGCUUAACUGAAGAACUGCAUCUGAAACUUCACAACUCGAGUACAGGAGAGGGAAACGGAAUUCCCGGUGUAGAGGUGAAAUUCGUAGAUAUCGGGAGGAACACCAGUGGCGAAGGCGGUUUCCUGGCCUGAUACUGACACUGAGGCGCGAAAGCGUGGGGAGCAAACAGG
rnacentral:rRNA from 1 species